GGAAAACAAAAUUCAAUCUUUGUGACUCAGAUCAGCUAUGAUAUAAUCUUACAAAUUACUUGAGCAAAAAUAUUGAAAUACUUUUUAAUUACUUAAACAUAUGUAUUUAACAUACUUUUCAAAAUUAGUAUCUGUACUUGAAUAUUUUUUAAAAGUAUUUUUUACAAAGACGGUCUAGUUAUGACUUAUGAAUUACAUUUGCUUAAAAUUGGAGCUCAUACAACUACAUAAGAUCUAAUUUUUAAAGUCAAUGGAAAUUUCGUAUUGUAACGAUAACUUUAUUACUACGCUACAAAAGUUCAUAAGUCAUAAUUCAUAACUACCUAAAAGUCUAUAAAUAUCAUAUUAACUGCAACAAUUAAUUAUUUAAUUAUUUAUUUACUAUAUUAAUUAAUAUUUUAUUUUACUAUAUCAUUCAUGAAUCCAAUAACAACCAAACACUGCCUUUUGUAUCAUAAUCAUUGGCGCAACUAAGGGGGUGCACAGGGGACUUGUGCACCCCUCCCCCCCAAAAAAAAAAAUAAAAAAAAAUAAACCUUUUUCAAUAAAAUGUUGUACAAUCAUGUAUAUUGAGCAAAAUAGAUAAGCAUUAUGUUCUCAGCUUUACGUUUAUAUUAAAUAUACUUUAUAGACAUAUAAUAUUGUAUAGGUAAUAAUAUAUACAAAUGUAUAUACAAUGUGUUUCGGUGGCAAGUGACAGGCCGACAUCAUAAUAUAAAAAAUACCAAAAAUGAUGAAAAAAACCCUUUAAAGUUUAUGUUGAAUGUAAACAAAACACCCUAUAGUAUGUUGGUUAUAAGUAAAAUUAUUCACACUGUAGUACAGCAGAAAUAGUACGCUGAAUAGACAUUUUGUAAUACUAUAGCAUAUUCGUUCUAUUCGUUCUAUGUAGUAGCACUAGUAGCCUGUAGGACGAUGAUAGACAAUUUAUAGUCGUUGUUUUAUAUUACGCCUCAGAGCACUAUAGUUAUUCAUAUCAAUUAUACAUAUUGACAUAUUGUUAUUUGUUAUAUUAUUAUACAUAUUUACAUGUAUCCGAUCUUAUUAUUAUUUACCUUUAGCUUCUGUAUAUCUGGUGUACUUCAACAGUUUAAAGAGUGGGUGUAACAGUUAGACUCUAACUUUUUUAUUUAUUAAAUCAUUGACAAUUAACUUUUAUUUAUCAAAACCAAACGCAUUUUUAUUACGUAUUUUUAUAUGUAUCUUCAAAACUUUUCAACAUUUUGACGUAGUUUUUUUAUUUUAAAGUUAUUUAAGUGCCCUAGGUAUCAACCAACAUACACGACUAAACCGUAAAUGUACAAAUUAUUAUUAUUAAUUUAAAAAAGCGGGCCAGUAAGUGGAUGUCGCUCUGCUGUACAGUACCUAGUUUACAAGUAUGGAUGGUAUUAAAUUUGAAUUCAAUGAUAUAAUAUCAUUGUAUACGAAAAACGAUUCUGAUCGGAGAUGAGAAGUCUCAGUCUUGGAUAUUUUAUACAAUAUUAAUUAUUUAAUUAUAUGAUUAAAAAAAAAAUGUAGGAAUCUAUAAAAUAAAUUCCAAAUUAAUCAAAUUAGAUUCAUUGUGUUACGUGGAACCUUGUAUCAAAUUUUCAAUACUUAGCUAUACAAGUAAACAUUUAAAAAUUGACCAGUAAUAAAUAAUUAAAUUAUUUGGUGUAAUCUUUUUAAAAAUUCUAAUUUUUGAUAAAAAAAUUUUACUUUUUCAAAUUAAUAAACCGGCAGUGCCCAGGCUCGACUGGAAGUUUUUUGGGGGCAUGGUGAAGUUUGCAGAUAUAUUUUAUUAUAAUGAUAUAUAAAUUCGUGGAGACUGGAGAUCAUAUUUGUAUUUAAAUUAAAUCAAAAAUUAUUAUAUGUACUACACUAGUUACACUACACCAAUUUAAAUUGUCUAACAAGAAAAUUUUCUACAAUAUUAUAACUGUAGACAGUAGACAUAGCCACAUAGUUCAAUACAUCUAUGACAUAUCGUAUAUACCUAUUUCAUAUAUAUUUCAUUUUCAUUUAUAGUGUUAACUGUACCUACCUAUUUAGUAAUAGAUUUUAGAUAUAGAUUUUGUAUUUAAGUGUUAUAAUUGAUCUUAAAUGAUAUAAAACAAGUUACCUAUACAUUUUAAUAUUAAAACAAAGUAUAUAUAUUUAGCAGUAGGUGUAUUCACAUUAGCAGUUAUUUCUUUUAUAAGUGUAAUAAUGAGAUCACACACUCAAAAUCAGUUUUGCGGAAAACUAACGUACCUACUAUGAAUAUACGUACGUCAUAAAUUAAUUAUUAUUUAUUACCAAUCUACCAUGAGUAAGACAGCGUGUCUUAAGUUUAUUUUGUGCGCCAUAUACAAUAAGAAUUAACGUUAUAAACUAUUACAAAUAGGUAGGUACCUAUUGCAUAAUUUUGUGUGCCGUGACCUACAGCACUAAGCAGAGGUGUAAGAGUUAAUUUAGUUGUAGACUAUUAUACACAAUCGGUACAACAAGAAGUCUGAAGUUCAAAGCUAACUUGGUAUUUUUUGGCAUAUUAUAUUAUAUUAUAUUAUAAUUCUCUUCAAGAAAGUAGUGUUUUCCUUAUUUCAACUAAAUACUUUGAUAAAAAUGUAUUAACUUUAACCAGGGUUCAGGUUUAAGAACGUUACCAAUUGAAUUUCAAAUAUAUAUUUGAGGUUAUGUUUUGAAUUUCAAGUUUGAAGUUUGAACUGUAAAAACUAAAAGCCAAACGGGCAACGGCCAACAUUUAAAAUUUAUUAUUUUAUUAUUUUCAAACUUUCAAGUUUCAAUUUUUCAAAAAUCAGAUUCAAAUAAUAAUUUAUUUCCAGAGUAGAUUGUGAAAUAAAAUGGCAAUUCAAAAACUGAAAAACAUACCAGGAUGUGGCCCAAUUUCUUGGGCUAUAUACCCAUCUACUCGAUGACCAGCACGCCUUAAAAAUGUGAAUACACGAUUAGGACUUUUAUCUGUAGCAAGGUCCUGAAGGAAGUUCCUAAUUGCAUUAGAGUUUUGAAUUCUUGCUCUAGCUGUUUUAGGUAAAUAAAUCCACGAGGAGUUGUAUAAUGUAAUAUGGUGAAUGGUACACCUACAUUUAAAUUGUUCUUAGCCUGACGAAAUUCAAUAUACUGCUGGUUUUCCAGAAAUUGUAACUGAACUGUAAUAAAUUAAGGUAAGUUAUUUAUUAGAAAUACCUACUAAUAAUAUUAUUAUAUUAUAAUAUCUACAUUAUGAUUUAUAGUUGUUAAUUGAUACUAAGAUAAUAUAAGCUUCUAAGGUUAUCUAGGAUCCUGUAUACUUACCUGAGACACUAACAUAAAGCUUUAAUUGAAGUUCAACAUAGAUUGUAUUGUGCAAUAUAUUUUAGAUACAACAACAUAUACAAGUUUACAACUGCUGGUCCCAUUGUUAUAAACCAAUAAUCCCAAAUGUAAUUGAACAUAAAUUGGUUUAAUUGUAAUGCCAAAUAUGGGAAUUGGUUUACAUAUUCAACUAUGCAAUUAAAACCAUCCUCCAUUGAAGGAAAAAAAUCACCAAUUUGUGUAGCAGGUUCAGUGGAAGAUAUUAGCUAUUUACUUGACAGUAAUGAAAGUAACACCCUUGGUGUUUACUUUCUGGGAAAACUACAUUUACUGCAUUGAUUAGCCCUUGCUCAAAAUCAGUAAUAAUUGUGAGCUGAUCAUAAUUUAAUGGAAGCACAUUUCUAAUGUAAUGAAGUAACUCAACAUAAAUUUGUUGAGUUUUUCCAAUUAGAAGGGCAUGAACUAAAGGGAAGCUCUGGAACAAGAUAAUGUAUUACAUUAUUCUAUAGAAUAUAUUAUGUCAUUUAUUUGUUGAAUUAACAGGAUAUACUAUAUAAGGUUUUAACAGUGAGUAGUGGAAUAAAAUAUUAAUUUAAAUAAUAUGGAUAUUAUUAUUAUUAUUACUUAAUUUGAGUCAUACUAAAUUAUUAUGCUAGUCAUAAUAAAUUAAUAUACUACCUACUACACUACACAGAUAUAUUGAAACUUACAACAUCCUUGAAUACAACUUGGAAAGAAAAUAACUGGUAGGCGUCAUUUUCUAAAAAUUUUGGAACGGUCUUAAAUGUUCCAUCACAUCCUGCUACUCGGACCUAAAAAUUCAUAAUAAUAAUUCAUUAAAUAACAUUCAUAUACAUUAUUGAUUUACUGUGACCAACAUUUCUCAAAUCUGGUGCAAUUAAAUUUAUAUUGGCUACAUUACAAAAAAUGACACCACUCACGGUUCCCUCUACCAGCAAUGGACCUUGAUAAAACCUAUUAAAAUGGGGGAUUUUGUAGUGUCAUUGCAAAACACUCAUUAUCAGCAGCCAUCAAUAAAUCGUGCAAAUUUGCCAUGUUUCGUGGUGUCUGAGGGAAAAACGUUCGUCUUAAACGCCGCAUCCUCUCUACACUCUGUAGAAAUGUAUAAUUCUCUGCAGCCUCUGGAAAACUAAUUCAUACAUCAUAUUAUCAAAAACAAGUAAAUAAGGAUAUCAAAACUAACCAUCACCUAUGCAUAGUUGCAUACCUUUUGUAAAAACUUACAAAAUAAGCAAUAAACUAGUUUAUAGUUAUUUCUUGUCGAAGCAGUGGAACAUUGAGGUCAAAUUCCCUGACACCAUGAAAAUGGCGUUUUGAUAGUGUCAACCUAUUAUCGUUGCGGUCCGAAGAUAUAUGAGCAGUUGCAUGGCACUGUCCUUCCAAUUUUUUUUCGUAACAUGACAAGUAACUAAAAUUACAUGAACCCAAGAUUAUCCCUUAUAAUUUCUGUGCCUCUUUGAAUGCCUAAAACUACAGUGUAGGACUGUGGUCUUGCUACGGCAACCGGAAGCAGAGGUUCUAAUAUUAACAAUUAAAAAUAACAUGUUACCUAAGAAGCAUACUAAAUGGCCAUCCGGAAUCCGUAUCGUGAAUGUAUUAUAAAACUUCUGUACCAGUGGUUUAAUUAAAGAAAAACACUUACAAUCAGGGGCUGUAUUUAAGAUGUGGUCGCUGUUGGCAACAACAUUUUUGCGCUACUGGCUUUGGAUAUAUUUUCUUAUUUCAGUAUUUUUACUCAAUAAUUAUUAUUCACACAAAAUUAAAAAUAAGUGUCUUAUAAUUAAUUAAAUAUAAUUGUAAAUUAUAAUAUAUAACAAACUUUUAUAGAAGACUAAA